rnacentral:rRNA from 1 species
AUGAACGCUGGCGGCAUGCCUAACACAUGCAAGUCGAACGAAGCCUUCGGGCUUAGUGGCGCACGGGUGCGUAACGCGUGGGAACCUGCCUUUCGGUUCGGAAUAACAGUUGGAAACGACUGCUAAUACCGGAUAAUGACUUCGGUCCAAAGAUUUAUCGCCGAAAGAUGGGCCCGCGUUAGAUUAGCUAGUUGGUGGGGUAAAGGCCUACCAAGGCGACGAUCUAUAGCUGGUCUGAGAGGAUGAUCAGCCACACUGGGACUGAGACACGGCCCAG